rnacentral:rRNA from 1 species
AGUGAACGCUGGCGGUAGGCCUAACACAUGCAAGUCGAACGGCAGCACAGUAAGAGCUUGCUCUUACGGGUGGCGAGUGGCGGACGGGUGAGGAAUACAUCGGAAUCUACUUUUUCGUGGGGGAUAACGUAGGGAAACUUACGCUAAUACCGCAUACGACCUACGGGUGAAAGCAGGGGAUCUUCUGACCUUGCGCGAUUGAAUGAGCCGAUGUCGGAUUAGCUAGUUGGCGGGGUAAAGGCCCACCACGGCGACGAUCCGUAGCUGGUCUGAGAGGAUGGUCAGCCACACUGGAACUGAGACACGGUCCAGACUCCUACGAGAGGCAGCAGUGGGGAAUAUUGGACAAUGGGCGCAAGCCUGAUCCAGCCAUACCGCGUGGGUGAAGAAGGCCUUCGGGUUGUAAAGCCCUUUUGUUGGGAAAGAAAAGCAGCAGGUUAAUACCCCGCUGUUCUGACGGUACCCAAAGAAUAAGCACCGGCUAACUUCGUG